GAUGAACGCUGGCGGCAUGCCUAACACGUGCAAGUCGAUCGGUAAGGCUCUUCGGAGUACACGAGAGGCGGACGGCUGAGUAACGCGUAGGAACACACCCUGCAGUGAGGGAUAAGACACCGAAAGGUGUUCUAAUACCGCAUACGGUCUUCGGAUUAAAGCAUUUAUGCGCUGAAGGAGUGGCCUGCGUCAUAUUAGAUAGUUGGUGAGGUAAUGGCUCACCAAGUCGAUGAUGUGUAGCUGGUCUGAGAGGAUGAUCAGCCAGACUGGAACUGAGACACGGUCCAGACUCCUACGGGAGGCAGCAGUGAGGAAUAUUUCACAAUGAGCGAAAGCUUGAUGGAGCAAUGCCGCGUGCAGGAUGAAGGCCCUCGGGUUGUAAACUGCUUUUAUAAGAGAAGAUUAUGACGGUAACUUAUGAAUAAGGGACGGCUAACUACGUG
rnacentral:rRNA from 1 species